GACGGACCGCUGGUGUACCUGUUGGAUUGCCAAAUCCAGAGCAGGGUAGCCAAGUCCGGCAGGGAUAAACGCUGAAGGCAUCUAAGCGUGAAGCCCCCCUCAAGAUAAGAUAUCCCAUUCGUAGGAAGUAAGACCCCUUGCAGACGACGAGGUUGAUAGGCUUCGGGUGGAAGUGUGGCAACACAUGGAGCUGAGAAGUACUAAUAGGUCGAGGGCUUGACCAG
rnacentral:rRNA from 1 species